AGAGUUUGAUCCUGGCUCAGGAUGAACGCUGGCGGCGUGCCUAAUACAUGCAAGUCGAGCGAACGGACGAGAAGCUUGCUUCUCUGAUGUUAGCGGCGGACGGGUGAGUAACACGUGGAUAACCUACCUAUAAGACUGGGAUAACUUCGGGAAACCGGAGCUAAUACCGGAUAAUAUUUUGAACCGCAUGGUUCAAAAGUGAAAGACGGUCUUGCUGUCACUUAUAGAUGGAUCCGCGCUGCAUUAGCUAGUUGGUAAGGUAACGGCUUACCAAGGCAACGAUGCAUAGCCGACCUGAGAGGGUGAUCGGCCACACUGGAACUGAGACACGGUCCAGACUCCUACGGGAGGCAGCAGUAGGGAAUCUUCCGCAAUGGGCGAAAGCCUGACGGAGCAACGCCGCGUGAGUGAUGAAGGUCUUCGGAUCGUAAAACUCUGUUAUUAGGGAAGAACAUAUGUGUAAGUAACUGUGCACAUCUUGACGGUACCUAAUCAGAAAGCCACGGCUAACUACGUGCCAGCAGCCGCGGUAAUACGUAGGUGGCAAGCGUUAUCCGGAAUUAUUGGGCGUAAAGCGCGCGUAGGCGGUUUUUUAAGUCUGAUGUGAAAGCCCACGGCUCAACCGUGGAGGGUCAUUGGAAACUGGAAAACUUGAGUGCAGAAGAGGAAAGUGGAAUUCCAUGUGUAGCGGUGAAAUGCGCAGAGAUAUGGAGGAACACCAGUGGCGAAGGCGACUUUCUGGUCUGUAACUGACGCUGAUGUGCGAAAGCGUGGGGAUCAAACAGGAUUAGAUACCCUGGUAGUCCACGCCGUAAACGAUGAGUGCUAAGUGUUAGGGGGUUUCCGCCCCUUAGUGCUGCAGCUAACGCAUUAAGCACUCCGCCUGGGGAGUACGACCGCAAGGUUGAAACUCAAAGGAAUUGACGGGGACCCGCACAAGCGGUGGAGCAUGUGGUUUAAUUCGAAGCAACGCGAAGAACCUUACCAAAUCUUGACAUCCUUUGACAACUCUAGAGAUAGAGCCUUCCCCUUCGGGGGACAAAGUGACAGGUGGUGCAUGGUUGUCGUCAGCUCGUGUCGUGAGAUGUUGGGUUAAGUCCCGCAACGAGCGCAACCCUUAAGCUUAGUUGCCAUCAUUAAGUUGGGCACUCUAAGUUGACUGCCGGUGACAAACCGGAGGAAGGUGGGGAUGACGUCAAAUCAUCAUGCCCCUUAUGAUUUGGGCUACACACAUGCUACAAUGGACAAUACAAAGGGCAGCGAAACCGCGAGGUCAAGCAAAUCCCAUAAAGUUGUUCUCAGUUCGGAUUGUAGUCUGCAACUCGACU
rnacentral:rRNA from 1 species